AAAAUUCACCACCUGAACGUAGGCUACGGUUGUUACGGAUGUGUGGCUUACCAGUCCGGAGCCAAAGGCCUCUCAGCAGAUGUUUCUAGUUUGGAGGCUAGAAGAGUUCGUGCUGCAUAUAGGUGAUGUAGUAACACCAGCAUACGCACAGCAAACUACGUGCUACAAAUGUACUAGUAUAUAUUCAGCCUCCUUUUCGAAAUCGGGCAGUUCUUGCUAGAACGCGCGUGAAGAGAAGGCCGCCAGUUUGCGUAAAGAUCCUGCUUCAUUCUGUACUUUGACACACCCAACACGAUGAGUGCGGACAAGAACUUAUCUAUGAUCAUCCUUGUACUAUCUUCCGCUGCCAUCAGUCUGGUGUCUGCUGAUGAUGGUUUGAACUUCAGUGAUCCUACAGUGGCUCCUGUCAUCUCCAGCACGGCUUAUGCGUCGAACUUUUCAUGCUGGAAGGCCAGUUGCAGUGAUGUUGCCGUGAAAUUCCUGAACACGCCAACGUGUCCGACCAAGGAGGAAAUUUGUGUGAACAGUACGACGUGCAUCUCAACGCUCGUAUACCCAAAUACGUUUUCAGCCAGUGCUGAAACGGGCGAGGUCACCAUCAGCUUAGGCUGUGCCAGGCCAGAUCAGUUAAGCGGUUGCCACAAGGAUUUCGGCACACAAAAAUGCGAUGGCACCACGUGCGUGACGUGCUGCGACAAGUCAAAGUGUAACACGGAGUUCAGUCAGGCUUCAGUCAUUUCCUUCUCGGUGUAUCUUCUUAUGAUAACUGCGUUUGUCACGUUGAUAUAGCAGUUCCUUUGUUUAUUAUUACCGAGCAUACACUGUAAUCAUCAUCAUUCUCAAUGAUAUACGGGUUGUCCCGAAAGCUUGCUUUUGUAUUCCUUUUAUCAUAAUGAACAUUUUGGCAUCUCCAGCAUGCCGUAAUAACAUGUCGCAUUUGCAAGCAAUCUACUUGAUCGAAAUUAUGCACGUCACAAGCUUUUCGGACGUACACGUGUUUUGUCUUCUAUUAUGGACGUUUGGUUGCAUCUGAUGUUCAUUUUCAAGGGGUAAUUCAAUCCUAAUUUAUGUUGUUUAAUAUUG